rnacentral:rRNA from 1 species
GACAGAGGGUGCAAACGUUGCUCGGAAUUACUGGGCGUAAAGCGCGUGUAGGCGGGCCAACAAGUCAGAUGUGAAAUCCCUGAGCUCAACUCAGGAACUGCAUUUGAAACUGUUGGCCUUGAGUGGUGGAGAGGGAAGCGGAAUUCCUGGUGUAGAGGUGAAAUUCGUAGAUAUCAGGAGGAACACCGGUGGCGAAGGCGGCGACCUGGGUCGAUACUGACGCUGAUGCGCGAAAGCGUGGGGAGCAAACAGG